GGACACCGAGUAUAGCUCAUCAGGAGAGGAGGGACCCCCAAAUGUUCCUCCUCCUCCUCUUCCCCCAGUAGCUCCACCUUCACCUCCACCACCACCUCCCCAGUACAUCGUCCUGCUCCUCGGGAAGAGCAUGAAGAAGAUUAUUUUGCAGAUGAUGAGGAGGAGGAGGAGGAGCAGCAAGAAUAGGAGUG
rnacentral:lncRNA from 1 species